GCCCAUGCCAACACAACGGUACCUGCUUUGAUCUAGUUAACGAGUUCUUCUGUCUAUGUCUGGAUGGAUACACCGGCUUUGACUGUGGGAUAGACAUUAACGAGUGUGCUAGCAUCCCAUGCAAACACAAUGGGACCUGCUUUGACCUAGUUAACGAGUUCUUCUGUGGAUGCCCUGUUGGAUACACUGACCUUGACUGUGGAAUAGAUAUAAAUGAAUGUACGGCCCAGCCUUGCAAUACUGGCGGGACAUGUGUUGAUCUUGUUGGAUCUUCCGUUUGUCUGUGCAAACCAUGGUUUACUGGCAAGAUUUGCCAAACAGGCGUUGACACAUGCGAAUCCAUGCCGUGUAAAAACGACGGGAUCUGCCUGUUUAACGAGUCAAGAGGAUACUUCUGCAACUGUCAAAAUGGCUGGGUUGGCAGACAAUGUGGC